UCCCUGAUGGUCUAGUGGCUAAAACUCUUUACUCCUAAUACAGGGAGCUGGGGUUCAAUCCCUGGUCAGGGAA
rnacentral:tRNA from 1 species